CUUCAACUUCAAAGACUUAUGAAAUGGUUUAUUAGGAUGACUGGAAAGUAGAAUUUUAAUGUUUCGUCUGGUUCUUCAGUCUUUCUAUGGGUUCUUCAAUAUGACACAACGGGGCCACAAAAUAUAGAGAAAUUUCUAAAAUUAGGGUUUCUCCCAAAUUGGCAAAAAUUCAUUUUGUUCCUUCAUAGUUGAAAGGAUUUUUUUUAGAGGAGAACAAUUAUUUGUCAAUUAAUUCCAUUUCUUUUGUUUAUGAUGACCAAAUGUAUAUCCUUGGGCUAGACUAUUUAUUCCUAUGAUGUUUGCUGAGAAACUCUUCACUUCAUGCUCUUCUUGGGUUUUUUUUACAAUAAAAUUGAAUUGUUCCAUUGACUUAAAAUGCUUAUGAAUACACUUCAUUCGAAGACAUUUUCUCCUCAUGCUUUGAACCUGGUGUCAUUACAAAAUAUCUUACUCUUACCCCUGUUUUACUAUAUACACAAGUCCAAAAAGGAGAUAAUAUGAGAUUCUAAAUUUCAAUCACUUCCAUGUUUUUCCUUGGAAACCAAUUGAAACAUGAGUUUUUCAUCUUUUUUCUUAGUUCACAAUUUAUUUAUUUUUUGGGGGGGGGGGGGUGUCAUAAAUUGUUUUAUUUUUUUGGCUUGUAGGGCUAUGGCAUGGUUGAAUAAACUGCUGUAGGCACCUGUGGUUCUAAUACUGCAAAGAUCUGUGUAAUUAUUCCCCCAGGGGGCUUCAGGCUCCAAACAUGCAAACUAAAGUGGUAUGUUUGGGUUUCUGAUUCCUUGUUGCUUGCCUUCUAGAGCUGAGACUGGGCAUAAGAGAAGCUGAGGGAGGAACCAGAAUUGGUAUUAAUCCAUCAAUGCUAGACAGUUUUGCAGAUUUCAAUGGAAAGCAGAAUAUAGUGCAAAUUGGGAACAUGUGCUAUGGAGACAAUUCAUUUUAGAGAGAAACUAAAGACUCAUGUUAUAAGGAAGUAUAUCAAUCCAGAAUGGAAUAAAGAUUUAACACUUUCCAUUUCAGAUC